rnacentral:rRNA from 6 species
UUCCGUAGGUGAACCUGCGGAAGGAUUAUUGU